CCAGCCACAUAUUAAUCCCAAAUAACUUACAUUAGCCACAACGUGACACACAGCCCCCCGUCUCUCUCUCUGAAUUGCCAGAGUGCGCACUUGGAUUGCUGCCAACAAUUUACUACCUUUUAUUGCUGCCAACAAUUUACUACCUUUUUAUUUAUACAAAAAAGCUGAAUUUCAUUUCCAAUUUACCUGGUAGUUGGAGUAAUCAAUAGGAAUUGAAAUGGCCCUCAAUUUGCUUUCUCCUACUGAAAUUAAGUCAAUCUCUUUCUUGGACACCUCAAAGUCCAGCUACAAUCUUAACCAUCUUAAGUUCUCAGGUUCUUUAUUGAGAAUUCUAAACCCCAUGUAAAAGUUGUUUGAUUUGGAUAACUUUGCUGAAAGUUUUUAUCUUUUGUGUUGUUUUCUUCAAUUUUGAGUUGUGGGGUUGGUUAAAGAUUAUCUUUUUUCCCCCUUUUUUGCUGCAAGAAUCGUUUUUUAAAAUUUCUAUUAUGAUUUUGACUGAUUUGGGGUUGAAGGGUUUUGUGAUUUUUCUUGAUAUAGGUGGACUGUCUAUCAGAAGAAAGGGGUGCAGUGGGGCAUUUGCUAAGAGGGUUCAGUGUUCAGCACAGCCGCCACCACCUCCUGCCUGGCCUGGAAGGGCUGUUGCUGAGCCAGGACGGCAGAGUUGGGA
rnacentral:lncRNA from 1 species